rnacentral:rRNA from 1 species
GACAGAGGAGGCAAGCGUUGUUCGGCAUCGCUGGGCUUAAAGCGCGCGCUGGCGGACCGUUAAGCGUCUUGUGAAAUCCCACGGCUCAACCGUGGAACUGCAGGGCGAACUGUCGGGCUUGAGGUCGGUAGAGGUGCCUGGAACUCUAGGUGGAGCGGUGAAAUGCGUAGAUAGCUAGAGGAACGCCAGAGGCGAAAGCGGGGCACUGGGCCGAUUCUGACGCUGAGGCGCGAGAGCGUGGGGAGCAAACAGG